rnacentral:rRNA from 1 species
UCGGGAAUUUUGGGCAAUGGGCGAAAGCCUGACCCAGCAACGCCGCGUGAGGGAUGAAGUAUUUCGGUAUGUAAACCUCGAAAGAAUGGGAAGAAUAAAUGACGGUACCAUUUAUAAGCUCCGGCUAACUACGUGCCAGCAGCCGCGGUAAUACGUAGGGAGCAAGCGUUGUUCGGAUUUACUGUGCGUAAAGGGCGCGUAGGCGGCGCGGUAAGUCACUUGUGAAAUCUCUGAGCUUAACUCAGAACGGCCAAGUGAUACUGCUGUGCUAGAGUGCGGAAGAGGCAACCGGAAUUCGUGGUGUAGCGGUGAAAUGCGUAGAUAUCAAGAGGAACACCUGAGGCGAAGGCGGGUUGCUGGGCCGACACUGACGCUGAUGCGCGAAAGCCAGGGGAGCAAACG